UAAUACGUAGGGUGCGAGCGUUGUCCGGAAUUACUGGGCGUAAAGGGCGCGUAGGCGGCUCUUUAAGUCAGAUGUGAAAACCCAGGGCUUAACUUUGGGAGUGCAUUUGAAGCUGAAGGGCUCGAGUGCAGGAGAGGUAAGUGGAAUUCCUAGUGUAGCGGUGAAAUGCGUAGAUAUUAGGAGGAACACCAGUGGCGAAGGCGACUUACUGGACUGUAACUGACGCUGAGGCGCGAAAGCGUGGGGAGCAAACGGGA
rnacentral:rRNA from 1 species